UACGAAGGGGGGCUAGCGUUGCUCGGAAUCACUGGGCGUAAAGCGUGCGCAGGCGGUUAUGCAAGACAGAUGUGAAAUCCCCGGGCUUAACCUGGGAACUGCAUUUGUGACUGCAUAGCUAGAGUACGGUAGAGGGGGAUGGAAUUCCGCGUGUAGCAGUGAAAUGCGUAGAUAUGCGGAGGAACACCGAUGGCGAAGGCAGUCCCCUGGACCUGUACUGACGCUCAUGCACGAAAGCGUGGGGAGCAAACAGG
rnacentral:rRNA from 1 species